UGUUUUCACCCGCAGUGCUUCAUGCCCACAAUUCACAACUGUCAAAACUCCUAAAGCAUAACACAUCAUAGUGUAAUUAUAUACAAAGUAUACAGUUGUAUUAAAGGGAACAAGUUUUCUUGAAGAAUGUUUGCUUUCCUCUUUGUGGUCAUACUGGGGCUGUGCUACUUUAGCCAGGACAGCAGUCAGUUAUUUCUGGGUCAUCCACGACUGUCUGGCCCUUCAGAGGCUUUGGUGAAAGCUGUUGUAGAUUUUCAUUGUGAAUUGAAGAAUCACUCACAGAAUGAAUCUAUCCUGCUGGAGCUAUUCAAGGAGGGUAACCGUGACAAGGUGUUGGGCUAUUACACCUCCCUGGAUGAGGAGGUUGCAGUCUUUCCCAUGGUAAUCAAACUUUACCACGAGGGCAACCUGGAGUGUGAGGCCAAAGUGCAGAACAACUCCAACAUAAAGCCCACUGUCAGCAACAUACACUACCUGAAGGUUGUUGAACCAGUGAAAGGUGCACAGAUUGUCGUCCGUUCAGAACAAGAGGAGUUCUUUGAGGGGGAGACACUGAAGCUGCAAUGUACACUCGCCGCUGGAAAUCAUGUAUCCUACAAGUGGCUGCUGAAUGGUCAGCUUGUCUCUCAGUCUUCUUCCCACAAUGACCAACUCUUGAUCAACAGAACUACUUCUAAAGACAGCGGCUCCUAUAUGUGUGUCGCCUCCAACAACUUUAACCAAACAGUCUUCACCGCCAACAGCACUGAAGUUGUGAUCACAGUCAAAGACGUAGUGUCAAACGCUGACAUCUCCUUCACCGUGUUAAAGGAGGAUGAACAAAACUAUUUUGCCAUGGUCACCUGCCAGUCAACAAAAGGGACUCCGCCUAUUACCUUCUCACUUUACAACAGGACAGAAUUAGUCACCAGUACGACAUCUGAAGAGAGAGACACCAUAUUUAAGGUCCCACUGCUCCUGGGCCAGCACUUGGGAAGGCUCCAGUGCCAGGCGAACAAUACAGACAAGAUCGCAUACAGUCAGUGGAUUCCUCUUGAAGUUGUCCUGGUUGGUGGGCCUGUGAUGAUGCAUUACGACUAUGACGUUGGAGAAAACUAUGCCGUGAUCAGCCUGAGGUUCUACUGCAAGGCGGCAAAGGGAUCUCUUCCACUGUACAAGUGGUUCCACAACAAAACCCUUCUAGGUGACCAAGGAAGCUUCUACCGUGUAGUCAACCAGCCUCCAGAGCAGUCCAUACUGCUGCUGUCUGUAGGGAGGAGCAGUGCUGGGACGUACCACUGUGAAGUGUCAGACAGCUUUGAUAGCACCAACACCAUUAAGAGCAAGAGGCGGUAUCUGGAUAAAGAAGUGCUGAAUCGUUUGCCUGUCUGGGUGGUGGCUGUGGUCUUUGGAUGUUUCACAUUCCUCGUUCUCUUGGUCUCCGCUUGUUGUUGGAUUGGAGUCGUAUUUAGGCGAAGGCAGUUUGGAGAGAAGUCUCUGUUGGCAGUUCAUCUGCAGUUGCUAAAGAAGAAACAAUGGCAGAUGCUAGGUUGGGCUUUGAGAUGGAGAGAAUAGUAGCUGCGAAUGAGGUCGAGUUGGAUUUGUCAGACUACACUGAGGAUGCUGAUGUGGGGCAGACAGUCACAGAUGGAGACUUUGAUCAGGUAUCUCAGUCCUCUGUGGAUGAAUGGCCCCAAAUUGAGGAAGAGAAGAAGACGUUGGAAGAUGAACCAGUUGAGGAGGCCUGAGGGUUCAAACUGUUUGCUCUGUAAACACAGACUGUUGUGGUUAAAUAAACAUAUACUCAAGGUG